rnacentral:tRNA from 1 species
GCCUCUAUAGCUCAGCUGGUAGAGCACCUGAUUUGUAAUCAGGGGGUCGGCGGUUCGAGACCGUCUGGGGGCACCA